rnacentral:rRNA from 1 species
CCUACGGGGGGCUGCAGUGGGGAAUAUUGGACAAUGGGGGGAACCCUGAUCCAGCCAUGCCGCGUGUGUGAAGAAGGCCCUCGGGUUGUAAAGCACUUUCAGUGAGGAAGAACGCCUGGUGGUUAAUACCCAUCAGGAAAGACAUCACUCACAGAAGAAGCACCGGCUAACUCCGUGCCAGCAGCCGCGGUAAUACGGAGGGUGCGAGCGUUAAUCGGAAUUACUGGGCGUAAAGCGCACGUAGGUGGCUUGAUAAGCCGGUUGUGAAAGCCCCGGGCUCAACCUGGGAACGGCAUCCGGAACUGUCAAGCUAGAGUGCAGGAGAGGAAGGUAGAAUUCCCGGUGUAGCAGUGAAAUGCGUAGAGAUCGGGAGGAAUACCAGUGGCGAAGGCGGCCUUCUGGACUGACACUGACACUGAGGUGCGAAAGCGUGGGUAGCAAACAGGAUUAGAUACCCUUGUAGUC